AUGGGCACCAACAUUCGCUUCAGCACAACUUUCCAUCCUCAAACUAGUGGCCAAGUCGAGCGAGUAAAUCAAAUCCUUGAAGAUAUGCUCAGGGCUUGUGUCAUUUCCUUUGGCAUGAAAUGGGAAGAUUGUCUUCCAUAUGCCGAAUUCUCCUACAACAACAGUUUCCAAGCGAGUUCGGGCAAGGCCCCAUUCGAGAUUCUCUAUGGCAGAAAGUGCCAUACUCCUCUCAAUUGGUCAGAGACUGGUGAACGCCAACUUCUUGGCAAUGACUUAAUCACAGAAGCUGAAGAAAUGUGUAAAGUCAUCCGUGAAAAUCUCAAAGCCGCGAAAUCGCAUCAGAAGAGUUACUAUGAUAGUAAGCACCGUGAUUUGGCUUUCGAGAUCGGAGACCAUGUCUACCUCCGCGUCUCUCCAAUGAAAGGCACUCGUUGCUUCGGUAUCAAAGGGAAGCUUGCCCCUAGAUACGUGGGUCCUUUCAAGAUUAUUGGCAAAAGAGGCGACCUCGCCUAUCAACUUGAGCUUCCCUCCAACUUCGCGAACGUGCACGAUGUGUUCCACAUGUCACAACUUCGCAAGUGCUUCAAGACGCCUGAGCGCACCAUCAACUUCGAAGAGAUUGAUCUCCAAGAAGAUCUGUCUUAUCAUGAGCACCCCGUUGCUAUUCUUGAAGAAACUGAGCGCAAGACUCGCAACAAAUCAAUCAAAUUCCUGAAAGUGAAGUGGUCGCACCAUUCCGACCGAGAAGCCACCUGGGAACGCCAGGACCAUCUCCGUUCCGAAUAUCCGGAGUUCUUUCAGUCCUAG
rnacentral:rRNA from 1 species